GCACAAGCAGCGGAGCGUGUGGUUUAAUUCGUUGCUACACGAAGAACCUUACCUGGGGUUUGACAUAGCAGUGGUAGGGAAGCGAAAGCGGACCGACCCUUCGGGGAGCUGUUACAGGUGUUGCAUGGCUGUCGUCAGCUCGUGUCGUGAGAUGUUCGGUUAAGUCCGCUAACGAGCGCAACCCGCGUUGUGUGUUACAAGUGUCACACAAUACCGCCGGUAUUAAGUCGGAGGAAGGUGCGGAUGACGUCAAGUCAGCAUGACCUUUAUAUCCAGGGCUACACACACGCUACAAUGGUCAGCACAAUAGGUUGCCAAGUCGUGAGACGGAGCCAAUCCUCCAAAGCUGGCCUCAGUUCAGAUUGUAGGCUGCAACCCGCCUGCAUGAAGUUGGAGUUGCUAGUAACCGCAGGUCAGCUAUACUGCGGUGAAUACGUUCCCGGGGAUU
rnacentral:rRNA from 1 species